CGCGCAGGCGGUCGUAUAAGUCGAAUGUGAGAGCCCCUGGCUCAACUAGGGAGAGUCAUUCGAUACUGUUCGACUCGAAGGCAGGAGAGGGAAGUGGAAUUCCGGGUGUAGUGGUGAAAUGCGUAGAUAUCCGGAGGAACACCAGUGGCGAAGGCGACUUUCUGGCCUGUUCUUGACGCUGAGGCGCGAAAGCUAGGGAGCAAACG
rnacentral:rRNA from 1 species